rnacentral:rRNA from 1 species
AUUGAACGCUGGCGGAAUGCUUUACACAUGCAAGUCGAGCGGCAGCGCGGCCUUCGGGCUGGCGGCGAGCGGCGAACGGGUGGGUAAUGCAUCGGAACAUGCCCAGUCGUGGGGGAUAACACUUCGAAAGAAGUGCUAAUACCGCAUACGUCCUGAGGGGGAAAGCGGGGGAUCGCAAGACCUCGCGCGAUUGGAGUGGCCGAUGUCAGAUUAGCUAGUUGGUGGGGUAAAGGCCUACCAAGGCGACGAUCUGUAGCUGGUCUGAGAGGAUGAUCAGCCACACUGGGACUGAGACACGGCCCAGACUCCUACGGGAGGCAGCAGUGGGGAAUUUUGGACAAUGGGGGCAACCCUGAUCCAGCCAUGCCGCGUGAGUGAAGAAGGCCUUCGGGUUGUAAAGCUCUUUCGGCAGGAACGAAACGGUGGGCUCUAACAUAGUCCGCUAAUGACGGUACCUGAAGAAGAAGCACCGGCUAACUACGUG